AUUGAUACUCAGUGAAAGGGUGGCUACAAAAAAGGAACCAUGGGAUGUUUUAGCCGGUAACACAAAAGCCAGGGAGCAGAGGGAACAGAAGCUGGAGUUGACCUGUGCUGCUCUGAAUGCCAAAGCCAUUGAAGCUUGAUUUCCAUUCAGAAUGUAAGGCAGUCCCUUAAAUCAGCUGGUCGCUGCAAAGGAGGACCGGAUCAUCACGACUACCUUGGAAAUGGAUUUUGGAGGGAGGAAAAAAAUGACAAAACACCAGCGCAUGCUUUUCAAACCAAAAGCAAACCAACAGCGGCUGAAACCCAAACGGAAGGAGGCAUUGGUGCAAAGAAACAAUGGAUAUACAAAGGAUCAAGCAGUCAAAAUGACAGGACACACAUAACACAAAUAUAUCUUGUACGCUUAAGUACAGUACAGACACCACAACGCCACCAAAACAGGACACAAUCGCCAGAAUCCACGUCCAAACCAAAGGCGGGGAGGAAGAGCAGCCCAAGACAAAACACCACUGGCAGACUGCUUGGGAACAUGGCACUAAUCCCAUCAAAAACCCUUAAAAUCCUGGACACCUGGGACGCACCCCUCGCCAAAUUCAGAGCCCAGCUCCUGGCCUGGCCUGAUCUGAGUUCCUGCACUGAUGCCCUCCAGCCUGUAGAGGAUCUACAGAUGGCUAAAUGGUGAAUGGCUGAUCGAUGGUGAACGGACAGACACGUGGCAGAGGCCGCGGAGCCAUGUGGAAAUGGGUGGAGUGGAACAUGGCAGUCUCUCGAACGCCGGAUAUGGAGAUGUUCGGCAGAGAGGACAGAGAAGGCGAAAGGAGAGGAGUGAAAGUAGAGACAGAAAGUGAGGAGGAGGAGAGGAAAGAGAGGGAAGACGUUGCUUCUGCAUCUCCUUACCGUGUCUUUGGAGGACCUACGUCUCUUGAUGCUGGAGGCCAGGGUGGUACUGAUGGACCUAAAAGAGGCUUUCUUUUGGGGGUCGGGCUCUGCUCUACCACUUUUCCUAUCCUAAAAUGAAUAUAUGUAGAAACAUUAUUCAUGUCCUCUGGCUGGGGUGAUAACCAUGGUUUCAGUCUCACCCAUUCUCUCUUCCCACCACCACCCCAGUGAAUUACCUUAUUUUAUAUUGUUUAAAUAGAGGGAGGGUCCUUGUGAGAAUGACUACAGCAUUUAGAAAUUUAAAAUGCGCAAAGAGGGAGAAAGAAAGGGAUAAAGCCUGUUAGAUGUGAGAGUGGAAGUAGUUUGUUCAGUCUGAUAUGAGGGCAUUCGUCUACAUUUUUAUGCGACAUUAUCACACUGGGACUGCACAAGAUGGUACAGUAGUCACCUAGAAAUGUGCUGACACAUUCACUCGGCCCCUAGAAAUGCAUUGGAAUGAGUGAUGACUAGUAAAGAUGUCAGUGGGUGUGAUACCUAUGUUACACUUCUAGAUAUUCUGCCUGUAUGCUCGCUAUUGCCUGAAAACACAGUUGCAACUUCCCCAUCUCAACACACAAGCGAUUUAAAAUUGAAAAUGGAUCGACUCAACAAAAUAUCUACUCUGUUACUCGGUUCUGAACGAGGUCAGAGCUCCGGAAAACAUUUAGAAAUACAUGUCCUGUCAAAACAGAAAUAGAAAAGUAAAGAAAGAAGCAGUUUUAACCAUAUCCUUACAAGAUGGCGAGCCAAUUAGGUGCCCUCCCACCCCCAUACCAUCAGAGUACCCCACAGCUACUCUCAGCACAAUAACUGGAUGUUUGUGUGCAAAAGAAAAACUCAUAUUAAGGUAUUCUUACAUCCUGAGUCUCUAGAGAGGAAGAGGGCUGCAUAGGGGGAGAAAAGGAAAAUAAAAUAAAUUUCCAUCCACUUUAUCGUUAUUACUUUAAAGAAGAUCCUUAAGCAAAAGCCAAGGGAACCAAAAGAGGGCGGAUAUUUAAAAAAAGACUAGCAAAGCAAACAUCCACAUCCAAAGCCAGGCAGGUAUAAAAAGUCGAGAAGCUUAGAGUAUCUUAGGCCACUAAAAUGCAUAUCAAAGAGGGAAAACAACAGCGACAAAAGUCAAUCAUUAAAGCCCAUUUAAAGUCAUUAUACCUUAAAGUGGUAUAAUGGAAAUUCACCCCACACAUAAGGGAAUGGGAUGGAGAAUGAGGAAAAAGUGCAUAAAAAAGGAUUGUAAAGGAAUGGUCACCUACUGUAGCUGCAAAACAUAUUUUUACUCUAGGUGCAAAAAAGAAACAAUUUGCUAUUCUAUGUGCUUGAUUUCAUAAUGAUCUGAACAGAUGACGGCUAAAGGAUGCUACUUCUAAAAAAGAAAGCGCUCUAAGAUGGAUGUUAGUAAAGUAUAAGUGGAUGAAGAGUGAGUGGUUGCAGGGAGGGAGGCCCUUUAGCCGGGCGGGGCAGUGUGGUGUGAAUUUCAACAUGCCGGAACAUUUUAUGGAUGGAGAGAAGGAUAAAAAGGGGGAAAACAUAGAAUAAGUAAACACAAAACAAAUAGCAUGACAAAUCAAUCCUGGCCAGCACUGGUCCCCGCAGUACAUCCUUUUUCAUCAGGUUACAUGACUAGACACUUUUUGGGCACAUUUGUUUCACCCAUCAACCCUGCCAACCAGCAUGUUUUCUCUUAACCCCCUAAUGGCAUGAUAUCAGCUGGCGUGGAGGAUAGAUGAGAGCUGGAAGAGGAGUGAUUGGUGCCCGACAUCACUCGCUUUUAGGUGAUAAUAAGUAAAAUGCUUUUCCUGUUGGAAGAUGACAUCUCAUGUUAGUAAAUGGAGGAAGUCAGCCUAUGUAAAAAA